CUGUAACCUUGAACUCCUGGGCUCAAGCGAUUCCCCUGCCUCAACUUCAUGAGUAGCAGGGACCACAGGUGUGUACUACCACACUCGCCUCUCCUGGCUGCUUAACCAAUUACAUUAAAAUUGAGAGGAGAAAGGCAUUUUCAGUUUCUUUAGUUAAUAAAAAGAAGCCAUUUCUGGAGGAGUUUUAUGCCUGUACCAGCAGAGGUUCAGCCUUCCAGGAAUCUCAUUAUGAUCCAUACUGCUGACAUAGGCCUUUGUCACCUGAAGCAUUCUCAAAACAAGGAGACUGACAUUAAACAGGACAAUUGUGAGUUCCACUUAGUAAGCAUCAUACAUAUCUUACAACUCAUUCUGAAGACUCCUUUAUUCUUGCUCUUCCCAGAGAGCGACUGUGUUUAGUCAUGCUCACUACACUCACAAAAGAAUAAGUGGCAUAUUUGCAGGUUCUGAUGGUCACAAGAGCGUUUUUACUUUUUCCUCCAUGUCUGUCUGUCCUGCAGCAUUUCCACUGAUGCAUGCUAUUGUGGACUCCUUAGGUUGACCUUGGCCUUGACCUCCACCACUAACUUUUGACCCAAAACUGAAGAUGUGCAUCAGAAAGGGACAGAUUUGGUCUUUCUCCUGUGAAAAGUAUUCUGCCUUAGUGCCUGCUAAUUUGGUGUGCUUAGUCCUGUGCUGUCAAUCUUCCCCACCAAUUGUUAAGGUUAAUUUGUGUUUUAUACGUGUAUUCACACACAUUAGAAUGUAAUCAGUGAAUUCCA